rnacentral:RNase_P_RNA from 1 species
CAAGAAAAACGUCCUGUUGAUUCCAAAUUCGUUUGGGGUAGGAAAGUCCGGACACCGUAGAGCAGCAAAGCGGAUAACAUCCGUCGGUCGUGAGAUCAGGACAAGUGCAACAGAAAGUAUGUAUAUUAAUUUAUAGUGAAACCAGGUAAACUCUUUGCGGUGCAAUGUUAAGUAUAUCGGAUUUUUUCAGCAAUGAAAAUAGGAGUGGCUCGUUCCAAAAACCGAGGGGUAAACAGCUAAAGUUUUGCAGCAAUGUAAAUCGUAGAUAAAUAACAGGCAUUUUGGUUUCGACCAAUUUACAGAAUCCGGCUUACAGUUUCUCUUGUGGG